UCCAAGUUCGAAGGGAGAGCUCCUUCGGGCCUGUCUCCUCUUCGCGUAGCCUGUCAAUGAAAAUGCUAGCAGCUUCACUGGCAAGCUUCAACAUUACCGGCGAGACCAAGUGUUGUAGUAACAUCACCGGCUCUGAUCUCUCCAUCAUCUUUCUUUUUUUUUUUUUUUUUGUCUUUUUGCUCUCCCCACAUCACCUCUCUCGCACUUUCUCUCUCUCCCUAUUUGGGUUUUAUAGGUUUUCCCUUCUCUUGCUUCCGGCAGUAGCAGUAACAGUGGCAGACCUUGCCUUCUCUCUCACGAUUUUCUCUCUCCCUCUCUCUCUCUCUCUCUAUGGCGGUGAUCGGAAGAGCUUUCCGCCUGCAAAUGUGAUAUAUUUUUUAACAUGCAAGAACGAUGAGACACUAGCGAGACCAAGUGUUGUAGUAGCAUCACCGGCUCCGAUCUCUCCGUCAUCUUCCAAUGCUUCUGCUCGGAAGAAGAUGAAACCUAUUGGAAAUAAGGAGAGGGUUCUUGAUCUGCAGCUUGAUUUAGAGAAGGAUGAUAGGGAAAGUUGCAGUAUUGGUGGCACCAAACAGUAACAACCGCAGCAAGUUCAACAGCAGCAGCCGCCUCCGCCGCCGCCAGCCCAACCAAAAUCUGGAAGAAAUUAUUUGAAGGCGGAGAAACCUGCUCAAUUCACCUCUUUUCCGUUGCCGAUGAUUAUAGCGGGCUGGCCAGGCGGGCUUACUUCUUUGGGUGCGAAUCCGAUUACCUCGUUAUAUUUCCCUGGAUGUUUUGGUUAUUUAUCAUUGUAACCGUAACAAUAAAUAUUUCAUAGCUAAGAAAUUACCCCCACCUU